GAGUAACACGUGGGUGACCUGCCCUCAGCUCUGGGAUAAGCCUGGGAAACUGGGUCUAAUACCGGAUAUGACUUCACAUCGCAUGGUGUGUUGUGGAAAGUUUUUCGGCUGGGGAUGGGCCCGCGGCCUAUCAGCUUGUUGGUGGGGUGAUGGCCUACCAAGGCGACGACGGGUAGCCGGCCUGAGAGGGCGACCGGCCACACUGGGACUGAGACACGGCCCAGACUCCUACGGGAGGCAGCAGUGGGGAAUAUUGCGCAAUGGGCGGAAGCCUGACGCAGCGACGCCGCGUGGGGGAUGACGGCCUUCGGGUUGUAAACCUCUUUCGCCAGGGACGAAGAGAAAUUGACGGUACCUGGAUAAGAAGCACCGGCCAACUACGUG
rnacentral:rRNA from 1 species